AAACCUAAAGGCGAAAUGAAAGUGAAGGGAACUCCGCUUUCCGAGGGAGGAUGGGUGUAGUCCCUUUAACGGGCUCGCCUCGCACUCCCGGGGCGUCUCCAUCUCAUCGCGAGAAGAGGCGCACCCAGAGCGCACACGCUGAUACCCGAAAGAUGGUGAACUAUGCCUGGCCAGGACGAAGCCAGGGGAAACCCUGGUGGAGGUCCGCAGCGAUUCUGACGUGCAAAUCGAUCGUCGGAGCUGGGUUUAGGGGCGAAAGACCAAUCGAACCAUCUAGUAGCUGGUUCCCUCUGAAGUUUCCCUCAGGAUAGCUUGCGCUCGAACGAAACGAGUCUCAUCCGGUAGAGCGAAUGAUUAGAGGCCUUGGGGUCGAAACGACCUCAACCUAUUCUCAAACUCCAAAUAGAUGAGAACCCCGGCUUUCUUGAACAUUGUUUAUGAAGCCGGGGGCUGGAUCAGAGUGCCAAGUGGGCCAAUUUUGG
rnacentral:rRNA from 1 species